rnacentral:rRNA from 1 species
UAGGGAAUCUUCCACAAUGGGCGCAAGCCUGAUGGAGCAACGCCGCGUGAGUGAAGAAGGUCUUCGGAUCGUAAAGCUCUGUUGUUGGUGAAGAAGGAUAGAGGCAGUAACUGGUCUUUAUUUGACGGUAAUCAACCAGAAAGUCACGGCUAACCACGUGCCAG